GAAAGUAAUGAAGGGCGUACGGUGGAUGCCUAGGCUCUUACAGGCGAUGAAGGACGUGAUAAGCUGCGAAAAGCCGCGGUGAGGCGCAAAUGGCCCUUGACCCGCGGAUCUCCGAAUGGGACAACCCAAUAUCUUGAAGAGAUAUUAUCCCGCCGAUGCGGGAGGCGAACGCGGGGAACUGAAACAUCUUAGUACCCGCAGGAAAAGAAAAUAAAGAAUGAUUCCCCCAGUAGUGGCGAGCGACCGGGGAAGAGCCCAAACCGACGUUGUCUCGGCAUCGUCGGGGUUGUAGGACCGCGCCAUCGCAAGAAAGGCCGUGAGUGGAAGCGACUGGAAAGCCGCGCCAUAGAGGGUGACAGCCCCUUACACGAAGCAGCCUGAAGCGUAGCGGACUCCUGAGUAGCGCGGGACACGAGUAAUCCUGUGUGAAUCCGCCGGGCCCAUCCGGCAAGGCUAAAUACUCGUAAGAGACCGAUAGUGAACCAGUACCGUGAGGGAAAGGUGAAAAGGACCCCUUGCAGGGGAGUGAAAGAGUUCCUGAAACCGUACGCCUACAAGCGGUCGGAGCAUCUUGAAUGAUGUGACGGCGUGCCUUUUGCAUAAUGAACCUACGAGUUGCCGUCACCAGCGAGGUUAAGUGCGAUGACGCACCGAGCCGCAGCGGAAGCGAGUCUUAAAAGGGCGCAAUAGUUGGUGGAGGCAGACGCGAAACCGAGUGAUCUACACUUGUCCAGGAUGAAGUCCCGGUAACACGGGAUGGAGGUCCGCACCAAUAAGCGUUGAAAAGCUUCUGGAUGAGGUGAGUGUAGGAGUGAAAGGCCAAUCAAACUCGGAGAUAGCUCGUACUCCCCGAAAGGCAUUUAGGUGCCGCCUGUGGCGUUCCCGACGUGAGGUAGAGCGACUGAUAGGAUGCGAGGGCUUCACCGCCUAUCAAGUCCUGACAAACUCCGAAUGCACGUCGGCCAAGCCAUGGAGUAAGGGCAUGGGUGCUAAGGUCCGUGCCCGAGAGGAGAAGAAUCCAGACCACCGGCUAAGGUCCCGAAAUACUGGUUAAGUUAGACUAACGCAGUCCGGCCCCCAAGACAGCUAGGAUGUUGGCUUGGAAGCAGCCAUUCAUUCAAAGAGUGCGUAACAGCUCACUAGUCGAGGAGCUGGGCGUGGAUAAUAAUCGGGUAUAAAACCAGUUACCGAAGCCGUGGGAUGCUCAAGCAUCGGUAGGGGAGCAUUGCAUGCGGCUUGGAAGGCGGGGCGCGAGCCCCUCUGGAGCGCAUGGAAACGCAAAUGUAGGUAUAAGUAACGACAAGGGGGGUGGGAUGCCCCCCCGCCGAAAGACCAAGGUUUCCUGAACAACGCUAAUCGGUUCAGGGUCAGUCGGGUCCUAAGCAUAAGCCGUAUGGCGAGGGCGAUGGACGAAACGGUUAAUAUUCCGUUACUGUCUUGGUGUGUGACGCGGCGACGGAGUAGUGACACGGCCGCCUCCUGACGGAAAAGGGGGUUGAAGCGCAAAGGUGUCGAGGAAGGCAGGCAAAUCCACCUUCCGAGCCGAAGCGCGAAAGUACGCCGGGCCCUUUGGGGCAAGGCGAUAGUGCCGGUAAUCAGACUUCCAAGAAAACCCGCUAAACUUCAGCACCAAGUCACCCGUACUCCAAACGGACACACGUGGUCGGGUAGAAUAUACUAAGGCGCUUGGGAGAUUCACGGUUAAGGAACUAGGCAAAUUGACCCCGUACCUUCGGAAUAAGGGGUCCUCGCUUUUGCGAGGCGCAGAGAAUAGGUCCAGGCAACUGUUUAACAAAAACACAGGGCUGUGCCAAUAUGAAAGUAGAAGUAUACAGCCUGACACCUGCCCGGUGCCGGAAGGUUAAGAGGAGAGCUCAUCAGCGAUGAGAAGGCUUGAAUUGAAGCCCCGGUAAACGGCGGCCGUAACUAUAACGGUCCUAAGGUAGCGAAAUUCCUUGUCGGGUAAGUUC
rnacentral:rRNA from 1 species